rnacentral:snRNA from 1 species
GCUGGCUUUGACAACACCUAUACUNUAAUUGGAACAUUANNGAGAAGAUUAUCAGGNGCCCUGUGCAAGGAUGACAUACAAAUUUGUACAGCAUUCUACUUAAAA